GGACUGGGUCAUCGCCCCCCAAGGCUACUCAGCCUAUUACUGUGAAGGGGAGUGCUCCUUCCCGCUGGACUCCUGCAUGAACGCCACCAACCACGCCAUCCUGCAGUCCCUGGUGCACCUGAUGAAGCCAGAUGCGGUCCCCAAGGCAUGCUGCGCGCCCACCAAGCUGAGCGCCACCUCCGUGCUCUACUACGACAGCAGCAACAACGUCAUCCUGCGCAAGCACCGCAACAUGGUGGUCCGGGCCUGUGGCUGCCACUGAGGCCACGCCUGGCCUCGGCGCUGGCCUCCACCCAGUCAGCCCUCCACAGGCUGGGACCCCCCAACGCCGUCACAGCUCGGGCAGGGGUGGCCCACAUCCCGCCAGGGCCGGUCCUCUCCAGGGCCCCUGGGGUACGUGCCCCUCCCCUGGGGCAUGUGGCAGUCGGUCCCGCCCAACCCUGCUGGGUGAUGCUCGCUGCAGUCAGCACAGAAGUCCCCUUAGAACCUGUCCUUGGCCAUCCCUCGCCCACUGUAUCCAACCGGGGACUGUCCGAGAGCCCCUGGGCCUGAGGCGGGAGGCUGGGCUGUGCCCCGCUCCCGGGGGCCUGCCCCUUCCCAACAUAACACUGGGCGUUCCCGGGGCACAGUGAAAGGAACACACACCCUCGAUACAGUGGGUUAGUGGCUCCUAACUUGGCCUUCGGGCAGUCGGCGCAUUAGGAGAGGACCACGGGCCUCCUGCUUCCGGCCGGAGCUGGCGGGGAUGUCUCAUGGCGUGUCUUCCCCUCCCUGGGCCUGCCCUUCUCCUGCCUGGGGAAGAUGUGUGACACCUACGUACCUUGGGGGCAGCCACGUCCCUUCACCUCUCCAUGUGGAGCUUCGCACUGAGACACAGCGAACUCCUAGCAGAAGCAAGGACGUAGCUGCAGGCCGGCAGACACAGCACAGAUGCCACCACGGCCUGUCCGCUUGCCCAUGGCCAUCAGACACCCCUGUGGACACUUCUUCCACUGACCUUGGACAGGCCCUGGAGGCGCUCAGCACAGCGCUCCAGGCAGCCGGCAGCUGUUCGGAGUUCAAUGCACUGCUUCCCCCUCCUGCCACACCAAGGACAGCAUGGUGCCCAGGUCGCCUCUGGCCAGCUGCGGGGAGAGGGUGGGCACUGUGUCAGCCAGAGUCCAGGAGGGAAGAACAGGCUGGUCACCCAAGUCUGCGUCACCCUGUGUGCCCUGGAGCCCUGUCCUGUUUCUUGGGGCCUGUGAGCCAAAGAAAGGGCCCCUGUCCCAGGGAAGUGACAGGCGGCAAUUAGGCUGAGCUGGCUGGGGAAGUUCCGGAAAACCACUGUUCUCCUUGGAGCAGCUGCCGGCAGCUACAGUGUUUAUCUGAUUUCUAACUUGCUAAGCCUGUAAUUUACCUGCAGCUGCCCAAACCGUGCAGUACCCUGUCAUUAAAAGCAGGUCCAGGGCCCACCCCAACCCAUGGGCACAGCCCAGGAGGCGUGUCCCAAGGUUGGGCCCUGGGAGCGCAGGUCUGGCAGCAGGAAUGAAGACUGGGCCUCCCUGGGACCAGUUGCCUGCCCCUCCGCUUGGACCUGGGAGGGAAGGUGGUGAGCUCCCCAUCAGCCAGGGACUUUGAGCUCAGGCUGGCAGUGAGUGGACAGGCACUGGCCCAAAUGUCAGGAGACCUGUACUCUGGCUCCAACUCAGUCACUGAGCUGCCCUUCCUGAUCCGGGCUGCAGUUUCCUGCCUCUGCGUGGGGACAUGCACAGGACUCACAUCUCCAAAGUCCCUUCCAGCCAGAGGAUUCGCCUGCACUGUGGCCUCCCCCUCACAGAGCCGAGACAGGGCCUACGUGCCCAGCCGCCCUGGGACAUGAAGCCUGCCACUUGUGGCCUAGUGAGUAGCUCUCGGCUCCCAACAUCAAGGGCAGUGGAGGCUUGGAAACCGUUGGCAAAUGUCAAUGUCAGGUGUGUUCGGUGCCUAAGCACAUAACCUCGCAUGGUCAGGGGCCAGGAACGUUUGUGAAAUGAAUGUUUUGGAGAUGCGUGCCCAGCCUGCCCAUCGGAGGUGCGGGACAGGAACAGAAGGAUUGUGGUACGACUCCCUUUUGCCGCAAAGCCAAAAGCCUGGUGGCCAUGGCCUUCCUGACACUUCUGGUUCCUUCAGCUGUCCAGGUGGCCAGCGGAUGGCAUCAAAGAGAAGAGGCUUCAGAGAAGGGAGGUGAUUAAGGACACAAAGCCAACGAGGUGGCAAUGGUCGGUCAUCAGGGCCAUCUCGUUUAUCUGGUUGCCUCUGGCAGUCUGGGUCACUUUCAAGGCUGCACAUAAGAAGCAUAAAGAAGGGCAGUCAGUUCAGGCCACUGGGGCACACCACUGUCCGCCCACCCCCAGUCACACCCUCACCACCGCAGCGCAGUCCUGGCCCUGAUGCCAGGUCAUUGGGCAAAGCCUGAUUCUUUGGGGUCUGCUAUGCAGGGAAGGGGCCGCAAUGCUUCAAGAAAGCCCCUAUAAUUUCACAGGAAAGGAGGCUGUGGCAGGAGAGGUAGGUUCUGCAGCUGGCAGACCUGCUGGCAACGUCCAGGCUCUGCCUCUCGCUGACCUGACCGCCCUGUGUCCUCAGGGCUCGCUCCUUCCUCUGUAGAAGGGGCUAUGGGUUCUGCUCUGGCAAGGCCAGCGUGGGGUCAGGUCUGUCCCCAGCACUUGGCACUGGAUCUGCACACCUGUGCUCAAUGAGUAGCAUUAGGGGCAUUUUUUUUUUUUUUAAAUGAAUUUGCACAUUUGGGCCUCCCUUGUGUGCCCUCCUAGUAAAACCCACUCUUCCCAGAAUGUGCCCUUGGAGGUGCUGCUAUAUCUACUUCGAAGCUGUGCUUUUCCUAAAAAAUAAAAACUUGGUAAUGUCCUGAGGUGAGGAGACUUGUGCCCUCCCCUCCCUGUGGAGGGAGUUCCAGCUGGCAGUGACCCACCGCAGGGACCCGGGCCUCUGCCGAGGACAUGGCAGCGCCGCACCCGCCCCUCCCAGGGCCCUGCCUGCCAGUACAGCACCCAUCUCGGCUUCAGGAAGCUCCAGGGGAAACUUCCUGGGGUUUCCCUUCUUACUGGGAAGCCCUGACCAAGCAUUUGACCCUCUUUGAAAAAUACAAAAAAGUUUUUCUAAUUUACAGGUGUGUCAGGGACACUCUUGAAAGUAAAAAACAGAAUACAAAUACAGAAUCCCACCAUGUAGAGACAGCCAUUGUGAGUAAUUCCGUCCAGUCUUAUCUCCUUGGCACGUAUCCAUCUGCCUUUAUAUAUAUGGGUAUUUUAUAAAGUUAGGAUCAUACUCUGUGCACUGCUUGGUGAUGUAUUCAAUUUAUGACAUAUUUUGGGCAUUUCUGUUAUUAAAUAUUCUUUGGGAA
rnacentral:lncRNA from 1 species